rnacentral:rRNA from 1 species
AUACGAGGGGUGCAAGCGUUAAUCGGAAUUACUGGGCGUAAAGCGUUCGUAGGCGGUUUGUUAAGCAAGAUGUGAAAGCCCUGGGCUCAACCUGGGAACUGCAUUUUGAACUGGCAAACUAGAAUACUGUAGAGGGUGGUGGAAUUUCCAGUGUAGCGGUGAAAUGCGUAGAGAUUGGAAGGAACAUCAGUGGCGAAGGCGGCCACCUGGACAGAUAUUGACGCUGAGGAACGAAGGCGUGGGGAGCGAACAGGAUUAGAAACCCUAGUAGUCC